rnacentral:rRNA from 1 species
UACGUAGGGAGCAAGCGUUGUUCGGAGUUACUGGGCGUAAAGGGUGCGUAGGCGGCUUUUUAAGUUUGGUGUGAAAUCUCCCGGCUCAACUGGGAGGGUGCGCCGAAUACUGAGAGGCUAGAGUGUGGGAGAGGAAAGUGGAAUUCCUGGUGUAGCGGUGAAAUGCGUAGAUAUCAGGAGGAACACCGGUGGUGUAAACGGCUUUCUGGACCAUAACUGACGCUGAGGCACGAAAGCGUGGGUAGCAAACAGG